CAGUAGCCACGGUAAUACGAAGGGUGCAAGCGUUAGUCGGAAUUACUGGGCGUAAAGCGUGCGUAGGCGGUGAGUUAAGUCUGCUGUGAAAUCCCCGGGCUCAACCUGGGAAUGGCAGUGGAUACUGGCUCGCUAGAGUGUGUCAGAGGAUGGUGGAAUUCCCGGUGUAGCGGUGAAAUGCGUAGAGACCGGGAGGAACAUCAGUGGCGAAGGCGGCCAUCUGGGACAACACUGACGCUGAGGCACGAAAGCGUGGGGAGCAAACAGGAUUAGAUACCCGCGUAGUCCCUGUCUCUUAUAC
rnacentral:rRNA from 1 species